rnacentral:rRNA from 1 species
ACUGCUAAUACCGCAUACGCCCUACGGGGGAAAGGAGGGGACCUUCGGGCCUUUCGCGAUUGGAUGAACCUAGGUGGGAUUAGCUAGUAGGUGGGGUAAUGGCUCACCUAGGCAACGAUCCCUAGCUGGUCUGAGAGGAUGAUCAGCCACACUGGAACUGAGACACGGUCCAGACUCCUACGGGAGGCAGCAGUGGGGAAUAUUGGACAAUGGGCGAAAGCCUGAUGCAGCCAUGCCGCGUGUAUGAAGAAGGCCUUCGGGUUGUAAAGUACUUUCAGCGAGGAGGAAAGGUAAGUAGUUAAUAACUGCUUACUGUGACGUUACUCGCAGAAGAAGCACCGGCUAACUUCGUGCCAGCAGCCGCGGUAAUACGAGGGGUGCAAGCGUUAAUCGGAAUUACUGGGCGUAAAGCGUACGCAGGCGGUUUGUUAAGCAAGAUGUGAAAGCCCCGGGCUCAACCUGGGAACUGCAUUUUGAACUGGCAAACUAGAGUCUUGUAGAGGGGGGUAGAAUUUCAGGUGUAGCGGUGAAAUGCGUAGAGAUCUGAAGGAAUACCGGUGGCGAAGGCGGCCCCCUGGACAAAGACUGACGCUCAGGUAC